GAGGAAGUGGAUCUGCAGUGGGGGGAACAGGUGGCGGACACACUACAUCUGCUGGCAGUGGGACACAACCUACAGGCAGAGGAAGUGGAUCUGCAGUGGGGGGAACAGGUGGCAGACACACUACAUCUGCUGGCAGUGGGACACAACCUACAGCAUCAUUCUGUGUCAUCAAUCCUGCUCAAUUGGUUUGGAGACGUUUUGAACUUUCUGGAGUUCAAUACAUGACGGAAGGAGAGGAGAAGUACAUUUCUUGUGGUUGGGAUAGUCACAGCCUGU